ACAACAAUAUUUGUAUAGUAUAAUUCUAACCAUUUUUACGGAUGUUUUAUUUAUCUUUUUAAGUGGGUGCACUAACAGUAAUUGUGGUUUGUAAGUAUUUGCUCAUUUAAAAUGUUUUUUUUUAAGCGAGUCCUUAUUCAUUUCACUGCAAGCCAGUGACCGUCUGAAAUUGGUACUAUUUUAAAAUGACCAUUCUAUGUAAUUCUAUUAUUUUCGUAUGUUCAUCGGAUAGUUUAGAUAAUUCUGCUUAUAUAUACUCUAUGCGAGCGACCGACUUGUGAUCUAUUUUGAUCUGGAGAAUACUAAACAUUAUGAAAUAGUACUUCAACAUACUGAUACAAUUUAGACUUAUGGUCAUCCAAUGCUUUGACCAAGUAUGCCCAUCUUUUUAUUUCUGAAUCAUAACCAACAAUCACAAAAAAAAGUACAAACUGAUUCUAUUUUAUCAAUUAUGAAUUCUAAUGCAACAACGUUUUUAACGUUCAUUUUGAUUGGAUUUUAUAAAUUAUGAAUUUGCAUCUUACUACAGCUAUACAGUAGUUCAAAUUGUUAUGUUUUGACUUUGUAUUGCAAUUUCUAUUGUAUGUUUAAGAGAAACACUCAUAUAUUUGAACUAAUUGUCGAUAUCAAGGUUUCAAAGGUAUAAAAAUAAUUUUUCAUGUGAACAAAAGGUCAAUAAUGUAAUGGUUUCUAUAUAUAAAAAAAAUGCAAUUUGCUACAACUAAGGAUAUUGAAAGUAACAUAGUACAUGUAUAGUUCUAUUGAUUAUAUAAGAUGGCAUUCAUUGGUUCAAAUAAGUGUUGAGGUAAGGUACAUACUUGAUCAAAGUAUGGUUCGGACUCGAUCCGCGUUUGAUUCUGACUUGACAUGUUAAACUUGAGUGUUAGUCACAUGAUAUAAAAUAUAUAAGAACUUGUCAAGUAAAAAUCAGAUAUAAAUUCAGACUGUUAAAUAUGAACUAUUUGUACGUCGAGUAAAAUUAAGUUAAUUAACGACCCUUUAAAAAUGCAUGCAUGCUAAUGUAAGACUGUUCCUUACGUCGUAAAUACAAUCAGCUUUCCGUUCAUGAAUGUCACCUACUGAAUAAUAGAAUUGAAAAUGCAUUUUACUUCUGUUUAGGUUUGAAUUAGAUGUCUCUAUAUCUUUUGAAAAUGAGUUUCAUCAGUGUGAAAGUAUAAAAGAUCUUUUGAGGCCUAGUAAGGCAUGAUGUAUCUAGCAAUAUCACGUUAAUAAUACCGUAUAAAGUGUGGUAACACAAAGUUAUCACGUUUCAAUUCAAAGCAGACGUGUAGACAAUCAUUUAAUAAUUUGCGGUUAUUGUUAAUUUUGAGACUGUGGACUUUACACAUGAACAAUCUAGCCAAACAUUUAACACAAUCAUUGAUCAGUCAAUCGUUAUGUGAUACAAUUUAUGAUUACUUUUUUGAAAUAUGCUUAGCCUAUUGAUUGAUAUAUUUAACAAUUGUAAUAACUUGGUAUGUACAUUGUAUGUAUGUUUUUGUUUUAAUGUGUUAUCAUAUGUUAUUCUAGCAACAAUAGGUCAUUUUGGCAUAGGUUUAUUGGAGAAGCAUAGAACAGCUGACAACCCGAGGACUAUAAGAUAUCAUAGUCAUGUGUAUACAGAGUACGUUUUAAUGCAAACAACAAUAACCGUCAUCAUAUGAUCCAUCUGUCAUUUAAGUGACAGUAUUAAACAUUUGUUUUUCUGUUAAUUUUACCGAAAGAAAGGUAGAUUCGUAUUGACCACUAACACCUUUUUCUGACACAUUAUCAUUUAGGUUAUAUAGCACACAAC
rnacentral:lncRNA from 1 species